rnacentral:rRNA from 1 species
GAUGAACGCUGGCGGCGUGCCUAAUACAUGCAAGUCGGGCGAACGGACGAGAAGCUGGCUUUUCUGAUGUUAGCGGCGGACGGGUGAGUAACACGUGGAUAACCUACCUAUAAGACUGGGAUAACUUCGGGAAACCGGAGCUAAUACCGGAUAAUAUUUUGAACCGCAUGGUUCAAGAGUGAAAGACGGUCUUGCUGUCACUUAUAGAUGGAUCCGCGUUGCAUUAGCUAGUUGGUAAGGUAACGGCUUACCAAGGCAACGAUGCAAAGCCGCCCUGAGAGCGACGAUGCACAGCCUGUAUCAGAGACACGGUCGCGACUCCUACGGUGGGACGCAGUAGGGAAUCUUACGCGAUGGAGCAAAGCCUAACGGAGCACAGCCGCCUGAGUCCUGAAGCUCUUAGGCUGCUAAAGCUCUGUUAUUAGGGAAGAACAUAAGUGUAAGUAACUGUGAACAUCUUGACGGUACCUAGACAGAAAGCCCCGGCUAACUCCGUG